rnacentral:lncRNA from 1 species
CAGCGUGGGAAGUCCUCACCAGAAACAGGAAGGCGGCUUCCUUCCCCGGACUAGGCAGGCUCCUCUCCCCAACCCUGCCAGGUGGGGGCCCGGCGCUCAGGCUGUUGCUCUAGUUUUCUGAUUGGGACAGACUUCGGGCCUAGUCUGUAAGGCCCGCCCCCUGGGAGCGGGACGGAGGGGAGGAGGGGCUCUCUGUGAGGAAACUUCCUGUUGGCUUCCGUGCCCACUCCAAGUCCUGGGGACAGAGCCCGGGGCGGGGCGGACCCCCGAGGGAGGAGGGCAGGAGAAACUCCAGGCUUUGGAAGGAAGAGGGCGGAAAUAUGGAGGCUUAGAGCCCAGGCCCGGAGGAGCUAGAAGUCACUGGUGCGUGGAGGAAGCGGAAAUGUUACAUGGAGCGGAGCCUUCUGGGAAAUGUAGUCUCCCGCCUUCCGGCCCAGCCAGGCUUGUGUCUCCCAGCCUCGGGCUUCCCUGGUCAUUCCUGGCAGCCCCAUCCCAGAGCCCUCCUGGUUCUCAGCCUUCCCCAGCUCCCUCCCUCCUAGACCAGGCAGGAGGGUGAGGGUUGGGCAGGGAGGCCUCAGGGAGGCCCUUUGGCGAGGAGUCCCCAGAGGAGGCAGCAGAAGGCACAAGGAAAGCCCAGACUGAAGGCAGACGUGUGAGCAGGACAAGCGCAGCAGCCACGUUCAGGCCAUCUCAGAGAGCAGAUUCCGGCCUGGCAGGAGAAGAGACAGGAAGGAUCUGCUGCUCAUCCCGAGAAGGAGACGGGAAGCAGCACAGGAACAAGGGAGGAGAUUGGGGAAGGACAGAAGCCCUCCUGGGAAAGAGCCAUCCAGCAGUAUGCAGGUGCCCCGAGGGCCGGAGAGAGCAGCAGGGAAGGGGAGCAGCCAGAGAAAUGGAGUUUGCUAUCAGCAAGGCUCCUGCUCAGGCUCAGGCCAAGAUGGAGGCAGAGAGAAGCCUUGAAUGGCCUCAGAUGGCCCUGUAGGAGAAACUGAGUCAAGAGGGCCUUCCUUGGCCUUCCCCACUGCUACCAGGGAUGGCAGCAGCUCCAGGAACCAGCUAUUGGGAGCUCAUCCAUCCUGAUGGGACCGUGGACUCUUCAGAAGGGAUUUGGCAUUCAGUCCUGAAAGGGAGAUCCAAGAAGUGUUUCAGAAUAAAUCCUCAGGGGGAUGGUGGGGUGGCUCA